rnacentral:piRNA from 1 species
UGCCUGCUAAAAGUGAUGGAAGUGGCUGU